rnacentral:sRNA from 13 species
GCUGGGCAUGGUGACUUACGCCUGUAAUCCAAGCACUUUGGAGGCUAAGGCGGGCGAAUCACCUGAGGUCGGGAGUUCAAGACGGGCCUGACCAACAUGGUGAAACCCUGUCUUUU